rnacentral:rRNA from 1 species
GACAGAGGGUGCAAACGUUGUUCGGAAUUACUGGGCGUAAAGCGCGUGUAGGCGGCCCUGCAAGUCGGAUGUGAAAUCCCCCGGCUCAACCGUGGAAGUGCAUUCGAAACUGCAGGGCUAGAGUCCUGGAGAGGAAGGUGGAAUGCUUGGUGUAGAGGUGAAAUUCGUAGAUAUCAAGCGGAACACCGGUGGCGAAGGCGGCCAUCUGGACCGCAACUGACGCUGAGGCGCGAAAGCGUGGGGAGCAAACAGG